rnacentral:rRNA from 1 species
UGUAGAGUUUGAUCCUGGCUCAGAUUGAACGCUGGCGGCAUGCCUUACACAUGCAAGUCGAACGGUAACAGGUUAAGCUGACGAGUGGCGAACGGGUGAGUAAUGUAUCGGAACGUGCCCAGUCGUGGGGGAUAACUGCUCGAAAGAGCAGCUAAUACCGCAUACGACCUGAGGGUGAAAGCGGGGGAUCGCAAGACCUCGCGCGAUUGGAGCGGCCGAUAUCAGAUUAGGUAGUUGGUGAGGUAAAGGCUCACCAAGCCGACGAUCUGUAGCUGGUCUGAGAGGACGACCAGCCACACUGGGACUGAGACACGGACCAGACUCCUACGGGAGGCAGCAGUGAGGAAUCUUGCGCAAUGGGCGAAAGCCUGACGCAGCCACGCCGCGUGCCGGAAGACGGCCCUAUGGGUUGUAAACGGCUUUUGCCAGGGAAGAAAGCCCGGGGUUCGCCCUGGAUUGACGGUACCUGGUGAAUAAGCACCGGCUAACUCCGUGCCAGCAGCCGCGGUAAUACGGAGG